rnacentral:miRNA from 1 species
UAGCAGGUGUCUGCAAUGCCAA